UUUUUUCUUUUUUUUUUAAUAAAAAUAAAAAAAAUACAAGAAAAAAAAUAAAAGAAAUUAUUUACAAAAAUUAAUUCUAUGAAUUAAAAGUACUUACCUCCCCGGCAACGGCGCCAAAAACUUGUUGUGCAAAUUUUAAUGUAUUCACAAGCGCACAAAUCUAUUGUAGUAUAGACUAAUGGUGACGAGUGUUGAUCCCACGAGGAGGUGGAUUUUAAUUGUGAAGAAUUAAUUUUGUAAGUGGGUGAUUGGAUUUGUGGUGGAAAUGAUUUGGGAUAUGCUAAAACUUAAAUUAAAAUGGCGAGAAUAAAUUCUAAAAUUGGAAUUGAAAUGGCGAGAAUAAAUUGAAGAGAAUUCUAUUAAAAUAACGUACUUGGGUAUCUGGAUCCGUAUCAACAUGCAUCAUGGGCUAAAUAAUCCGUAUUAAUGCCAAUUAAAUCAUAAGGGUGGAAUCCACACCUCAUGAACCACGCUCUAAUCAAUAUGGUGCUAAGGGCUUAUCGUGCCAAAUAAUAAUAACCUUGUACUAGAGGGCCGGUGAAACCAAGGCGGUACUAGACAAGAAUAUUAUUAUUUGUCGACGAGAAGUCAAAACAUCCACAAAAACUAGAGGGGAAGAGAAAAUAAAUUUACCAAAUUAAGCCCAUGACACAUGUUGAUACGGAUCCAGAUACCCAAGCUUGAAAGAAAAUUAGCUACUCAUAAUUGAACUAGGGGCAAAAUGGAAAUUUAUUAAAAUAUGAAGAAAAUACAAGAUAGAGAAGGAAUUACAGAAAAUGGAUCCCAAAAAUGGAUUCAGAGAUAUCAAAUUAGGGGGGAGAGGCCCCCUUUUCAUAGAUACAUGGAGUAAAUCAUGGCCAUCGGAUUAAAAACAGUUUGGACGCUCAGGAUUGCGCCACGUCAUCAGUCAACAAUCCACGGUUUGACCACGCGGAUGAACAGUAACACGGUUUGACCACGCGGAUGAACAGUAACACGGUUUGACCCAACUUUGAAUAACGCGUAAAGCACGUGGCUCGCAAGUUAAAAAGAAAACAGUAAAAAGGAAAAAGCAAACAGUAAUAAGAAAAAAGCAAACAGUAAUAAAAUUAUUAGGGACAAUAAUACACACAAUAAAACAAUAGUGAAAUAAAAUAACAGUAAAGUGAAAGGAUAUUUACAGGUAGUUGCGACUGUGGCUCACAUCUUCCUCUGGUUUUACGUCCAGAAACGGCUUGAACGCCCUCUAUGGGUCGAGGAUAGGCUUCCUAUCCAGUUUUCUUAUAAACUGGCAAACAGGGUCGUUUAUUGUCAGAUUCCCGAGACUAUAUCGUGCAUGCUCUUUCUGGAAUAAUGGCCAUAACUGGAGAAUCGCUCCUUGCACAUAUCCACUGGGAUGCGUUUCAAGAGACAAAAGGAUAUCAUCCAAUGACUCCUUAUUCAAGCCAUCCCUAAUGAAUUGAAUCUUAUCUUCCCUGUUAUCAGACAUCAUUCCUAAAGAACAUGGGUUUUUAUUGCAACUCAUUCUGGCACACUUAUGACAAGCAACAUAAAUUCUUCGAGCUCGUCGUUUUCUUGCAUAAUUUCCUUUACCACAACCAGGCAUGUAUGCAAUAAAUUUUGGAGGUAACUCACCUGCCGAUCGUACUUUAGCCUCGAUUAACCAACGGAUGUCAGCAGGUAUGUUAUUCCUCAUGAGUAAUCGCAUGUGUUCGGACCGAGCUUUAUAGAUCGUAAGGAGGGCAUUCUGAGGAAGUGAAGGGAAUCGCUUGUGAAGCUUCGCUAGAAUCUCGUUUAUGUCCAUACCUUCGCCUCAGAAUAUCAGUUAUUAUGGGAAACUGAAGUAACCGACUUGAUUGUCACGGAGUACCGUUAUCCGCCACUUCACCGGGGUAACAAACUAAAGCACACAAACAGAAAAACAAAUUAAAACACACAAAGAAAAUUAAAAUCGUCCUCUUAUUGAAUUUACCUCAAGCUCCAACUGGAUGUCGUAAACACUUCUCUCAAUGUCUCUGAGUUGGCGUUCUAAACCCUCAACAUAGGCUACUAACUCUGGUGGUUGUAGAGCCCAAAUGCGUUGUGUUUUACAAAAUUGAAUCUGCCUUUUGAGAUGAGUUUUGACUCGUUGAAGUGGUUUAAGAAUGUUCAGGAGGAACGGUCUAAGUAUGAGAUUCAUGAUUAAAAAUUAUAAGAGAAAACUUAAUGGUAAAAUAAACACACUUAUGCAAAAACAAUUUCAAUUAGCAAAAGAAUAAUAAUAAAAAGAAAGAAAGAAAAAUCAAAUCAACGAAAAGAAAAAAAAAUCAAUUCAAAUUUGGUGGGUCACUCAAAUUUAUUUCGGUGUCUUCGUCAUGUGGUUGGUACUCUAGAUAUGGCUUUAAUCUUUGACCAUUAACUUUAAACGUGACACCGUUCUUUGGGUCCUUAAUUUCAAUUGCCCCAUGUGGAAAAACAGUAUGAACAAUAAAGGGACCAGACCAACGAGAGCGUAACUUACCUGGGAAUAGGUGCAAGCGAGAAUUGAAUAAAAGCACUUUCUGACCUGGAGUGAAAGAUUUUCUCAUAAUUUGCUUGUCAUGGAAGACUUUCAUUCGUUGCUUGUAAAUCUUGGCAUUUUCGUACGCGUCAUUGCGAAUUUCUUCAAGUUCUGCCAGCUGUAAUCUUCUUUCUGAGCUGGCGUGCUGCAUGUCAAAAUUGAAUUUCUUGAUGGCCCAAUAUGCACGAUGCUCGAGUUCCACAGGUAGGUGGCAAGCUUUUCCAUACACUAGCCUGUAGGGUGACAUCCCAAUCGGGGUCUUGAAAGCCGUUCUAUAUGCCCACAAGGCAUCAUCAAGUCUUAAUGACCAAUCUUUUCUAUCUGGCCUCACCAUCUUUUCUAAUAUGUGCUUUAUUUCUCGAUUGGAGAUCUCAACUUGGCCACUGGUUUGCGGAUGAUACGGAGUCGCCACUUUGUGUGUGAUUGAAUACUUUGUCAAAAGAGCUUUGAAUGCUUUGUUACAAAAGUGGGCACCACCAUCACUGAUUAUUGCUCGAGGGAAUCCAAAGCGCGAGACAAUGUUGCUUUUCAAAAAUCCUAUCACCACCUUGUGAUCAUUAGUUCUGCAUGGAAUUGCUUCUACCCAUUUGGAUACGUAGUCAACAGCAACCAAUAUGUAUUGAUGGCCAAAAGAAGGGGGAAAGGGUCCCAUGAAGUCAAUAUCCCAUACGUCAAAAAUCUCAACCACUAAAAUUGGAUUUAGUGGCAUCAUGUUCCUUCGUGUAAUGCUUCCCAUUCGUUGACACCUAUCACAUGAAGAACAGAAAGUGUAAGCGUCUCGAAAUAUAGAUGGCCAAUAGAAACCACAUUGUAAAACUUUAGUCGCUGUUUUCUUAGCACUGAAAUGGCCUCCACAAGCUUGUUCAUGGCAGAAUGAAAGGAUAUUCUGAAUUUCACUUUCUGGGGCACAUCGUCUAACAAUUUGGUCUGCACAAUACUUGAACAAAUACGGGUCAUCCCAAAAGAAAUUCUUUAUCUCUGCAAAGAAUUUUGUCUUGUCUUGCUUGGUCCAAUGCUCAGGAAGUUUACCUGUAACAAGAUAAUUAACUAUAUCAGCAUACCAAGGUAAUACUUCCACACUCAUUAAUUGUUCAUCUGGAAAUGACUCAUUUAAUGGUAAUGGCUCUGUAAUUGUGUCAAAAUGGAGACGAGAGAGGUGGUCCGCCACAACAUUUUCUGUCCCUUUCUUAUCUUUGAAUUCCAAGUCAAAUUCCUACAAAAGUAACACCCAACGAAUUAGUCUAGCUUUUGCAUCUUUCUUUGUGAGAAGAUAUUUAAGAGCAGCAUGAUCCGUGAAUAUAAUUAUUUUACAACCAAUGAGAUAUGAUCGAAAUUUUUCUAAUGCAAACACUACUGCUAGCAUUUAUUUUUCAGUAGUUGAAUAGUUCAACUGUGCAUCAUUCAAUGUCAUACUAGCAUAGUAAAUAACGUGGGGAAUUCGAUCAACUCUUUGUCCUAAUACUGCUCCUACUGCAUAAUCAGAUGCAUCACACAUGAGCUCAAAUGGUAAGCUCCAAUUUGGGGGCUGAAUGAUGGGUGAUGAUGUCAACAAAUGCUUUAAUUUUUCAAACGCAACAAGACAUGAAUCAUCAAAGACAAAAGGUACAUCCUUAACAAGUAGAUUGCAUAAGGGUCUAGAAACUUUGCUAAAAUCUUUAAUAAAACGUCUAUAGAAACCAGCAUGCCCAAGGAAAGAUCUUACUUCUCUGACUGUUUUAGGUGGAGGAAGAUUAGAAAUGAGAUACACCUUGGCUUUGUCAACCUCAAUACCUUUGCUCGAAAUGAUGUGACCGAGAACAAUACCUUGUUUUACCAUAAAAUGGCAUUUCUCCCAAUUUAAGACCAAGUUCUUCUCGAUACAUCUCUGCAAAACUAGUGUUAGAUGAUGUAAACAUUGAUCAAACGAAUCACCAAAGACAGAAAAGUCAUCCAUAAAGACUUCCAGGAAUUGUUCAACCAUAUCAGAAAAAAUGCUCAACAUGCAUCGUUGAAAUGUAGCAGGUGCAUUACAUAAUCCAAAUGGCAUCCUCCUAUAUGCAAAAGUGCCAAAAGGGCAAGUGAAAGUAGUUUUCUCUUGAUCUUUUGGUGCUAUGGGAAUCUGAUUAUAUCCUGAGUAGCCAUCUAGAAAGCAAUAAAAUUCAUGGCCUGCUAAUCUAUCAAGCAUUUGAUCAAUAAAUGGUAAAGGAAAAUGGUCUUUACGUGUGACAAAAUUCAAUUUUCUAUAAUCAAUGCAUACACGCCAUCCUGUAGUUACUCUAGUGGGUAUCAAUUCAUUAGCAGCAUUGGUAACUACUGUGACUCCUGACUUUUUGGGGACGACUUGUACAGGACUGACCCAUGAACUAUCAGAAAUUGGGUAAAUGAUACCUGCAUCUAAUAGCUUAAGGACUUCUGUUCUAACAACUUCUUUCAUAUUAGGAUUUAACCGACGUUGCAUUUCCCUAGUAGAUUUAGCAUAUUCAUCGAGGUGAAUGUAAUGCAUGCAGUCUACUGGAUUUAUACCUUUUAUAUCUGCUAUGGUCCAUCCUAAUGCUCCUUUGUGCUCUUUUAAAACAUCCAACAACUUACCUUUUUGUUCGUCAUUUAGGGAUGAUGAGAUGAUUACCGGCAGAGUACUUUCUUCUCCCAAAAAUGCAUAUUCCAAAGUGUUGGGCAAUGGUUUGAGCUCGAGUUUCGGUGGUGAUUCUGAUGAUGGAAUGAGUUGCUUCUCUGAUGGUGCUAGUUGCUCAACUCUUGACUUCCAUUUAUUAGUGUCCAUAGAUGGUGCUAAGUCAAGCAGGGCGUUGACCUCAUCGACCGAUCUGUCAAUAUCAAAAUCCAAACUAAAGUGAGUUAAACAUGUUUGUAAAGGAUCAUCACUAAGGUUUGAAACAAAAGUAUCAUCAACUAAUGCUUCAAUUAAAUCCACAUCAACAAUUCCAUCAUCUGCACUGUGAGGUUGUUUGGCAAUGUUGAAGAUGUUCAGCUCCAUAGUCAUGUUGCCGAAGGACAACUGCAUAUUUCCGGUCCUGCAUUGAAUGUGAGCAUCCGCAGUUGCCAAGAAAGGUCGGCCUAGAAUAAUGGGGAUGUGCUUCCUCGAGUCCUGUAUUGGUUGAGUGUCAAUUACAAUGAAAUCAACAGGAAAAUAAAACUUGUCUACCUGGAUAAGCAUGUCCUCCACAAUGCCACGAGGUAUUUUCGUGGACCGAUCUGCAAGUUGUAACACCACUGGAGUUGGGUGUAAUUCUCCCAGUCCAAGUUUCACGAAUACAGAGUAAGGCAAAAGAUUUACACUAGCUCCUAAAUCCAACAAAGCAUUCUCAAUUGUGUGGUUCCCUAUACUACAUGAGAUAGUGGGGGAGCCUGGGUUUUUGCAUUUUAAAGGAAUUUUAUGUUGGAGUAUAGAACUAACGUUUUCUGUUAAAAAUGCCUUCUUUUGAACAUGUAUAUUUCUCUUUUUAGUACAAAGGUCUUUAAGAAACUUGGCAUAAGAUGGAACUUGUUUAAUAACAUCAAGUAAAGGGAUGUUAACACUUACCUGUUUGAAGAUUUCAAGAAUCUCACCUGUGGAUUUUCCCUUCUUUCUUUUUGCUAACCUCUGAGGAAAUGGAGCUUUAGGAACAUAUUCUCGUGGGUUGGUUUCUUCUUUUUCCUCCGGUGGUGAGUCCUCAACAUUCACAGGUACAAUUUGAUUUUCUUUUGUCACCAGCAUCUCCACUUUGUUGUCAACUUCUAUUCCUUUUCUCAAGGUCAUGACUGUUUUGACCUCUCCAUGCUGCUGUGGUGAACUAGUACUUGCUUCAUGUACUCCUUUAGGAUUAAGCACUGGUUGACUUGGAAACUUGCCUUUCUCAACAGUCAUUGCCAAGGUCUGAACUGAAGAAGCAAGUUGUCCCACCAUCUUCUCGAGGCUUGAAACUGAUUGGGCUUGUGAAUUGAAGCAUGCUCUCAACUCAUUUCGUAGUCCAUCAAUGGUGCGGUUCUGUUGCUCAAUCGUGGAGUGAGUAACAUUCCUAAAAUUCUGGAAUGCAUCCUCCCAUGGUCUGGGUUGAGAGUGGUUCUGAUUCUGAUUGUAUGGUCUGAAUGGUGGCUGAGAGGCUUGAGGAUUUUGUGGAAUUGGUGGAGCUGGAGCUGCUGGUCCGUUUUGUUGGAAUCCUUGAGACCAUGAAAAAUUGGGGUGGUCUCUCCAUCCAGGGUUAUAUGUGUUGGAGUAUGGGUUAUAAUUCAAUGGUUUUCUCAUUACACCUAUGGCAUUGGCUUGAUCUGAGUAUGAGUCAUGGUCAUGUGGCUCUGUUAAUUUAGCAGUCGAUAACGAUGCUAUUUGUCGAGAGAGACCUUCAAUUAUUGCUUUGACUUCUUUAAUUUCUAAACUUGAUUCGCCAAUGUGAACCUCAUUUACUCCUUUAAUUCUUCUAGUAUUCCUGAGUGAUCGACUCCGUUGUUGGGAAUUAUCCGCUUGUCGCUGGAAGAAUUCCCAAAUCUCUUAUGCACUUUUUGACAUUAGCUCUCCUCCACUUAUUGCCAUUAGCUAUUCUUGCACAUUCGGCAGUAAUCCCUCCAAAAAGUAUUGACAUUGGUGCCAUUUCUCGUACCCAUGAUGUGGACACUUCAAGAGUAGCCCAUUGAAUCGCUCCCAUGUUUCGAAAAAUUGCUCGUCCUCUCUCUGGGUAAACUCCGAGAUUUCCCUGCGAAUAGCAUUGGUUUUAUACACUGGGAAAUAUUUAUUCAAAAAUUUAGUUACCAUUUGUUCCCAUGAUGAAAUGCUAUUGGCAGGCAAUGUAUUAAGCCAUGAACGAGUUCUAUCCUUUAAAGAAAAUGGGAAUAAUCUGAGUUUAACAUCAUCGUCUGAAAAAUUUUCAUAUUUAAAAGUUUGACAAAUGGCAUGAAAAUCAUUCAAAUGAUUAUAUGGGUCCUCAUUUUCUAGGCCAUAAAAUGUGGGGAGACAAUUUAGCACACUAGGUUUUAAUUCAAAGCUCCUAGCAGCUACAUUUAGGUAUCUUAUACAUGAUGUGUUCAAAUUUGCUAAAGGACUGAAAUAAUCCUUAAAUGGCCUCUCCUGUGGUGCUUGUAAAUCCAUUCCAAAUUUAUUUUUAAUGUGCUUUUGUGUGCGAAGUGUUUUUUCUAAUUCAAGGUCUAUAGGUUCAAGAUUAGGAAAUAAUGACCUACGACCAUGCAUGCAAAACAAAUAAAAUAAAAAUAAAGAUGGGAACAAAACAAAUAAAAAUAAAGAAGAGGGCGAAAUUAUGAUACUAACCUUAUUGCGCUAUUACAACCUUUCUAUAAAAAUACACAAAAACAAAUACGUGAAAUAAAUCAACUAAAAAUAAAUUAAUAAGAUAAACAAACAAACAAAAUUACAAAGAAAAAUAAAUUGAAAAUGAAAUUACAGAAUUUUAAAGAAGAGAAAAAGAAAAAAAAAUACUAACCUUUAAAUGUAGAUUCACUUUUUUUUAUUUUUUAUUUUUUAUUUUUUAUAAAAAUAAAAAAAUACAAGAAAACAAAUAAAAGAAAUUAUUCACAAAAAUUAAUUCUAUGAAUUAAAAGUACUUACCUCCCCGGCAAUGGCGCCAAAAACUUGUUGUGCAAAUUUUAAUGUACUCGCAAGCACACGAAUCUAUUGUAGUAUAGAUCAAUGGUGACGAGUGUCGAUCCCACGAGGAGGUGGAUUUUAAUUAUGUGUAUAAUUAAUUUUGUAAAUGAGUGGUUGGAUUUAUGGUGGAAGUGAUUUGGAAUAUGCUAAAACUUAAAUUAAAAUGGCGAGAAUAAAUUCUAAAAUUGGAAUUGCAAUGGAGAUAAUAAAUUGUAGAGAAAAUCUAUUAAAUUGACAUACUUGGGUAUCUGGAUCCGUAUCAACAUGCAUCAUGAGCUAAAUAAUCCGUAUUAAUACCAAUUAAAUCAUAAGGGGGGAAUCCACACCUCAUGAACCACGCUCUAAUCAAUAUGGUGCUAAGGGCUUAUCGUGCCAAAUAAUAAUAACCUUGUACUAGAGGGCCGGUGAAACCAAGGCGGUACUAGACAAGAUUAGUAUUAUUUGUCGACGAGAAGUCAAAACAUCCAAUAAAACUAGAGGGGAAGAGAAAAUAAAUUUACCAAAUAAAGCCCAUGACACAUGUUGAGACUUCACCUUCAACCCAAGCUUGAAAGAAAAUUAGCCACUCAUAAUUGAACUAGGGGCAAAAUGGGAAUUUAUUAAAAUACGAAGAAAAUACAAGAUGGAGAGGGAAUUACAGAAAAUGGAUCCCAAAAAUGGAUUCAGAGAUAUCAAAUUAGGGGGGAGAGGCCCCUUUUUUAUAGAUACAUGGAGUAAAUCAUGGCCAUCGAAUUAAAAACAGUUUGGACGCUCAGGAUUGCGCCACGUCAUCAGUCAACAGUCCACGGUUUGACCACGCGGAUGAACAGUAACACGGUUUGACCCGACUUUGAAUAGUAACGCAGUUUGACCCGGAUGAACAGUAACGCGGUUUGGUUGAAAAUAAUCCUGUGUGAUGCAUGCACCGUACGCGAGAUUUUUCGUCCACUGAUAUGCUGCCACGUCACCAUCAACAGUACAUAAGAAUUUUAGUCCAACAGGAUCGUGACACCUCAUCAGUCAAUGCCACAUCAUCGGUCAAUGCCACGUCAUCAUCCGUCUAUGUGAACAGUGUCGUGAACAGUAACGUAUACAGUACCGUACACGUGAAUAGUACCGUACAUGUGAAUAGUGCCAUUUUUCCUUUUAUGCUCCUCUUAAGGUUUUUGACCAUCCUAAGUUCAAAAGUGAUGUCCGUUUUGCCGUCUGAUUUCUCCUUUAUUGUGAAAUGACUAUAAUGCCCCUAAAAUACAUAAAAUACUUAAUUAAAAUAAAACACAUGUAAUUAAAUCACAAGAAAGUUAAAUACAUAAAAGUAAGGGUUGUUAGUAAGACUUGAAAUGUAAAAUGACGGUUUUCUCCUUUAUAAAUAUGCAUUUUCUAACACUCAACAUUCUAUACAUACAAAGAAUGAUUUAGGUCCACAUUUUACAAAGAAUGACAUAGGUUCAUUCCUUACAAAAAAUUACCUAGGCACUUAAAAGUAUUUCUAAGUAAAAUGCGUAAAAGAUAAGUCUUCGAUAAAGCGCCAAAGGCUUGAUUCUUCAAAGAAUGACCUAGUUCUAUUCUAUACAAAGAAUGACUUACGUCCACAUUUUACAAAGAACAACUUAUAUCUAUUCCUUACAAAGAAUAUUUGGGUAAUUCGAAAAUAUUUCUAAGUAAAACGCUCAAAGAGCGAGUCUUCAAUAAUUUAUCAAAAAGCAUGAUUUUUUUAAGAAUUACCUAGAUCCAUUCUUUACGAAGAAUUGCCUAGUCCCAUGUUUUACAAAGAACAACUUAGGUCCAUUACAAAGAACGACUUAGGCAUUUAAAAAAUAUUUUUAUGUAAAACGCCUAAAGGGCGAGUCUUCAAUAAAGUGUCAAAUGCGUGAUUCUUCAAAAAAAUGACCUAAGUCCAUUCUUCACAAAACAUGACCUAGAUUCACUAAUUAUAAAGAACAACCUAGGUCCAUGCCAAACAAAAAAUAACCUAGGCACUUAAAAGAAUUUCUAAGUAAAACACCCAAGGGGAAAGUCUUUGACAAAGCGCCAAGACGUGAUUCAUCAAAGAAUGACCAAGUUUCAUUAUUCACAAAAAAUGACAUAGGUCCACGUUUUACAAAGAAUGACAUAUGCACUUAGAAAAUGUUUCCAAGUAAAAAGCCUAAACGGUAAGUUUUCGACAAAGCACUGAAGGCAUGAUUCAACAAAGAAAGACCUAAGUCCAUUCUUUACAAUGAAUGACCUAAACAUUUAAAAAAAUAUUUCUAAGUAAGAGCCUAUGGGCAAAUAAACAUUCUAUAAAAUAUGCCUAGUAAGUAUACAUUCUAUAAAAUGUACCUACGGGCAAUAUACAAUACACAUGCUAUAGAAUGAACAUGCAAUCAAAUAUACAUUCUAUGGAAUACACCUAUGAACAAAUACACAUUCUACGAAAUACGCCUAUGAGUAAAUAUAUAUUCUGCAGAAUAAGUCUGUGGGCAAGUACACAUUCUACUGAAUGCAUCUACAAGCAACAUACAUUUUACGAAAUGUGCUUACAGUAAAUAUACAUUCUACGGAAUACACCUCUGGGCAAAUACGUAUUCUACAGAAUUAGCCUACGGGCAAAUAUAUAUUGCACGAAGCUAGGGUGUUAAAAAUACCCGCUUAAUCUGAACCUAGAUCGAACCUGGAUUAUGCGGGCCGGGUAUCACCCUAGCAAUACCUAGCCCGGAGAUGAAGUCAGGCUAGUCCUGACCAUCACUUGAUAAGCCUGCGACCUGGCCCAGAACUCAGAUUUUAUAAAAAAUUAUUAUAAAAUAUAUAUUAUUUUAAAUAGUUAUAUUUAUUUGACCUAUUUAUUACAUAUAUGUAAAAUUUUAAACAUUUAAAGUUCAUAUCUUCAUGCUCAAUUUCAUUGAAUUAAAUUUAAAUAUUACAAAAUUAGAAAAAAAAUACAUAUAUAAUAUUAAAAAAUAUAACCCAAUACAAAAAACCCGAUAAAAAAUUUGGCCCAAUGUUGGCCUUUUUAAGCCUGGUCUAAGCGUCUAAAAAUUACAUUCAGGUCAGAUCUGGGCAUUGCUAUACUUGACAUGGACCCAGAUUUUGCCAGCUCUACUAUGGACAAAUAUGCAUUCUACGAAAUGCGCUAUAGUCAUAUAUGCAUACUAAGGAAUGCACUUACAUGUAAAUAAACAUUCUAUGGAAUGCGCCCAUGGCCAAAACGUUCUAUGUAAUGCGCCUACGGGGGAAUAUAUAAAUCUUAUGAACUACACUUACGGGCAAAAUAUUGCAAAAUCAAUCCUCUAAGCAAAGAACCAAUAUAAGUGCCAAAUUCAAACUCAAGCCCUAUUAAAAGUCAGGCCAAAAAACAUGACAAAUGUCCAAAGAAUACUUGUCAUGAACAAGUAUUGGUGCAUAUGAAUAUUUGUCUCUAUGUAUGAGCUUUGGUUGACACUUAUCAUAACAAAAGUGCCACAAAAUCUCUCCAAUUAACUCUAAGAUGCCUACAUAAAGGCUAGAUCCCAUUUGAAGAUAAGGAAAAAAAGAGGAAUAAAAUGAGUACAAAAACUCUAUCCAUUUCACUUUAAAUUUUUUCUCCUUAAAAAUUGAGUAAAAAAUGAUUUGAGUAUCGAAGGGUUAUCGCCAGCAAGAUGGUCUCCUUUGACAAUUGUUUUAUUUUGCAAAAAAAUUAACCAUAAGAGGAGGCGUGAUUUGAGACACUUGCCUCAAGGAGAAAAUAAGCCACAAAAAUUGAUUUAGAAGAAAGUUCAAAACACAAAUCAAUCAUUGUACAUUGAGCAAAAAUUUGCAUCAAUAGCUAUUAUAAUCAAGUCAUGGAUGCUUUAAUCUAAGAAACAAAACUAAGGAAAAAUGGAAGAAUAUUAAUCAUAAUAAUCGAAGGUUAAUUAAUCAGCACUUUGGCAGUUCUGGCCAUAUUAUCUAAACGAAAUAAUCUUUUGGAAGGAAACUAAGACUCGAUUAUUGCCAUUAUAAUCAAGUCAUAAAGUAUGCUUUAAUGUAGGAAAUAGAACUAGGGAAAAAUGAAAGAAUAUUUCAUUAUAAUCAAAGGUUAGUUAAUCAGCAUUUUGGCAGUUCUAGCCACAUUGUCCAAAUGAAAUAAUGUUCUGGAAGGAAACUAAGACUUGAUUAUUGCUAUUAGUUUGUUUGUAAAUUAAUUGUUGCCGACAAACUAUAUAUCGAGUCAAAAAUUAUUUUCAAGUAUUUUCUUAUCUACACCCUAAUCACCAACGUCUAUGACUCGUGUAGAAAUUUUCUGAUAUAAAAUUGUUAGUGGAUAAGUAGAAAAAGGUAGGGUUUAGAUCUUAUUGCUCAGCUUGGUUUUUCUGAUCUUGAGGUAGAAUCUGAUUCAGCCACUGUGGUUUCGUGGGCUAUUUCAAGUGGAUUCGUACGGUGGGAUUUUGCUUACCUCUUUGGUUGUGUUUGGGGAUUGGCUUCCAGCCCAUCUAUUAUUAUCAGACAUGUUUUUUGAGAAGCUACAUUUGCUGCUGACUUUAUGGCCAACUGGGCUUGUGCUCAUCAGACUUGUCAGCGAUUUUUCAAUCCUGUAGACCUUUUAGCUGGUUUAUCGGGCAUUCUUCAUUUAGAUACUCUUGAAGUUCCAUAUAUUCGGCAUUAAUCACUUUGAUUUGGAUUAGUUUUAUAUUGAUCACUAAAUCAUUUGCUUCUCUUGGGGGGCUUUGGUUUAUAUCCUCCUUCUUAUGUUCAUUGAUUGAUUGAUUUAUUUACAAGUAUGGGUCUGGCCUAACCCCCACCAUCUUGGUGGAUUUUCAUUAUAAAAGAAAAGUAGAAAAGGUAGGCUUUUUUUUUCAAGUUUUUGAAAGGAAUAAACAAUGUUUCAUCAAAACUUAUUAAUUCUAACGUUUUAUCGGGGUUUUAGACAGACUAAAACUAUUAAUUCGUUAGAUAGGAAUUUUGGUAAUUUUUUUUAGGAAAAGAUAAUUAUAAAAUAACAAUAAAAUAAAAAAAUCUAUAAUUUUCAUUGAGUUAGCUAUGUAUAAUUUAGGAAUUUAUUUCCUUUUAAAUAUAAAAUAAUAAACUUAAUAUUGUUGGGCCUUAACCAAACUCCUAAGCGGCCAAGAAGAAGAUUAUGGAAAUGAAAAUUUCUUAUUCCGAUUUUAAAAAAUUAUUUUUUAAUAUAAAUUUUCUCUCUCUUUUUUUUUAAGAAAACAUUAAAAUUGAAGUGAUGAAAUCUUAAUUAACGACCAUUUGAAUUGUUCAUGAUUGACAAAGAAACAGCUAGAAUAUCUGACAUAUACACAAAUCUAAUAAUUUUUUUGCAAUUAUCUCUGUCCUUCGUCUUGGUAUUCUGUUUCUGUUUUAUAACUAAAUUCUCUUUGUUCUUGGCUUGUUGUAGUAGCUCUUUUUUUUAUUUUUUAUUUUAAUUUUUUGAGGAACUUAUCGGAGGCUUUUUCACUGUUCCUUUGCUCAUCUUUUUCAAUGUUCCUAUCGCAGAGCUGUACAAGCGCAAAAUAAUUAUGAAGGGCGAGAACAAAGGGGUAGAGGCAUUGAGAUUGUCAGUGAGGCAAAGGAGAAAGGAAACUGAAUCCAGGGAGCGACAGAACAGCAUGUCAGUGGCGUUCUUCGUGGCUAGCUAUGAAACUACAUCUACCAUUAUGGAAGACAAAUGAAGAGAUAAAAACUUUAGGGAGAGAAACUAAAGAUAAUAAAGUUAUAAUAUUUACCUAUAAUGGUAAUAAUAGUAAUUUAAGUUAAGAAUAUUUGUGUCAUAAUAUUGUCUUUUUAAAAUGGUUUUAAUAAAUAGUUUGGUUAGGGAUGACAAUGGAGCAGAUAUGGGUUGGAUCUACUCUGCUCUAGAUCUAAAUCCAUAAUAAAAAUCAACAUCCAUAUCUGCUCCAGAUCCAUCAUGAAUCCAUAUUUUUCGCUCCAUAUCCAGAUCCAAAAAAGAAAUAAAUAUCUAUAUCUGCUCUAAAUCUGAAAAAAAAAUUAAAAUUAAAAUCUGCUCUAGAUCCGUCAUGAAUUAUAAAAUUCAGUAAUAAAAAAGUAAUAAUUUUUUAGAUUGAAAAUUGAAGGCUAAAAUAUAUUGAUAACAAAUAAAUUAUAUAAAUUUUCUCAAAAAUAUAAUAAAAAUUGUAGCUUAUACUUUUACACCAAAACAACAAAUAAGAAAGAUAAUAAAAUAUCAUUCAUAAGUAAUUGCAAGAGUAAGAUCAAUAUGAUAUUCUAUUGUCUCAUUCAUCAUUAAAAUAUCCACGAUACACCUACCUUCAUUCCUACAAUAUUAGAUAAUGACAUAUAAAUUAAAUAUGAUUUAUAUUCAGUCCUUUAUUAUUUUUAUUAUGACCAUAUUUGACUAAAUAUAUGAAUAACUAUAUUCCUUAAAAAUUAUUUGGCCAAUAUAAUAAAAUAAAUUGUCAGAUUAUAUUACUUGACUUGCAAUUUGAAUAUUGCAUGUACAUGCUUUGGGGCUGGCUGACCUUUAAAUUUACAAAACUAACCUUUAAGUUUUAAGAGUUUAAAUGCAUGGUAAAUACUACUAAUAUGCUAUGAAUAAAAUUUAUUAUCAUUAUAAUUCCAUAAUUGUUAAGAAACUUUUAAAAUAAAAUAAAAUAAAAAGAUGAGUGGAUAUAGAUAUGGAUUUAGAUAUUAAGAUAGAUCCAGAUCUGCUCUAGAUCCGCCUUAGAUCCGCACAUCGAUAUCUAAAUCCGAUCCAAAUCCAUUUUAUAUUGAUCCAAAUCCAAUCCGAUUGGAUUUGGAUCACGUGGAUCUUGGAUCAGAUCCAAUCCAUUGCCAUUCCUAAGUUUGGUGGGUCUAAAUAAUCUCAACCAUAAUAGACUGCACUAGCAAUAAUUAAUUUUUUCGAUCUCUUUCUCUCAACUUCUUUUCUCUUCAUUUUUCUCUCUUCAAGGAAUAUUUUUACUUUGUUAUUAAUUGUGUCCGCUUGAAAUUAUAUUAAUUCUUAAGUGCGCGUUUGACAUACUGUAUUGUAUUAUACUACAUUAAAAUAUUUUAAUGUAGAUGUAUUGUAUUGUGUUGUAUUGUGUUAUAUUACAUUAGCAUUGUAUUGUAAUACUGCUAUACUGUAUUAAUUUUUAGUUAUACUAUGUUUGGUGCUGCGUUAUACUGUAUUAAUUUCUUUGGCGAUUAAUUUAAAUUAUAUAUUUAGAAAAUAUGUAAUUUAUUAGUACUUGUAAAAAUGUAAAAUAUAGAAGUCUAAAAUAUUUGAAUUUUUACUUCAAUUUUUUUUUUGUUUAAAUGAAAAAAUUCAUAAUUCUUCAUAAACUAUAUGUAAAACUAACAAAUUUUAAAAUUUUCGACAGCAUAAUACUUAUUUUUUCAACAAGUACCAAAAAUAUAACCUAGAAAAUAAAGAUUGAAGCAAAUAAUUUAGUCAAAUAACCUCUAAAAACUAUCACAAUAUAAAUAAAUAGUUACAAGAUUUGUUCAAAGUUUAUACAUACUACAAAAAAGUCGCAAAAUAUUAAAGUGAUUCAAUAGUUGUAAUAUAAUCACCUAUAAAGUGGAUUGUGUUAAAUAAUCUAAGUACACACAUCCACAAGUCAAAAUACUAAUGCAAAGUAUCAUUGUGUAGCUCGAAAUGCAUACUCUCUAAUCAAACUCCACCUCUCCUCUCAUGCUUAUGCAAAAGCAUCCUAACAUAUGCCAACCUAAGGCCAUGAUUAUUUCAUAAUACCUUGAAAGCCCUUAUAUAUGAAGGUUUCUCGAUUCCACUAAAUUUAACGCAAUAAGUUAAAAAUGCCUUUAGAUGUUUGUUUGCAUUUUUAAAUAAUUUUUUUUCUGUUUACAAUGUGAAUUUUUGCUUAAACAUUAAGUGUAGGUUUUAAUUUAUUUUUUUAUCCAGUAAUAUAAUUUUAAAUUUGUUUAAUGUUGUGAAAUAUCUAACGUCGUUUUAAAAGGUUUUUGGAGGAUACCAAUAGUACAAAAAAAAAGUCUCAUAUUAAUUACAUAUGCAACGCCAAUAACUCUCUAUACAUAUACCAUUCAAUAUCAAUUACCUAAUCUAAUUUCAAAGUCAUAAAUUAAAACUACACAUUUAAACUAGGGUUAGAAAAAAUCCGACCCAACCCAAGCCUACAGAUUUUAAACCCGGCCCGCAGAAUAAAAACAUAGAUAAGGGCUCAGGAAAUGUAAAACCCAUAUAUAUUGGGCUUGGUUAAAGGCGUUUAAGAAAAAGCCCGCCAGCUUUAUUAUAUAAACAAAAUCAAAUUUAAAAAAAAAAAUGCAAAACAGCCGACCCCAAAAAUUUCCUAAUACCUGACGCUGUCACAGGAGUCACACCCACCGUCCCAAAACCAAGUGAAGCAAGAACCAGCAACUGCAUCUUCAUCAUCACACCAGCCCAACAAUUUCAGCCACCGCCGACCACCAUGAUGCAGCCAUUAAGCGACGCAGCUACUCGAACCAAACACCAGCAGCGCGACGCAGUAGCAGCCAUUAAAGACAAUCAUUUAGUUUUCAAUCUUCCAUAUGUAAUAUGCAACAGAGAAUAGCCGCUUGAAUGUCGUUGAACUUGUAGAAUCUGCCGCCAUUAAUUCAUCAACAGGUAAGAUGCACUUCUCAUGGUAUUGUCAGUUUUUUGGGUUUUUUUAUUUGAUCAUGUAAAGGCAAACUAAACAAAUUGGGUUAGUUUAAUUUGGUGAAAUUCGAUUUGGGUUAAGUGUAGGGAUGGCAAUGGGGCAGAUAUGGAUUGGAUCUACUCUGCUCCAGAUUCAAAUCCAUAAUAAAAAUUAAGAUCCGUAUCUGCUCUAAAUCCGUCAUAAAUUUAUAUUUUUUGCUACAUAUCUAGAUCCAAAAAAGAAAUAAAUAUCUAUAUAUGCUCCAAAUUCGAAAAAAAAAUUAAAAUCCAAAUCUGCUCUCGAUCCGUCAUGAAUUCUAAAAUUUAGUAAUAAAAAAGUAAUAUUUUUUUAGAUUGAAAAUUGAAGGCUAAAAUGUAUUGAUAACAAAUAAAUUAUAUAAUUUUUCUCAAAAAUAUAAUAAAUAUUGUAGCUUAUACUUUUACACCAAAACAACAAAUAAGAAAAAUAAUAAAAUAUCAUUCAUAAGUAAUUGCAGGAGUAAAAUCAAUAUGAUAUUCUAUUGUCUCAUUCAUCAUUAAAAUAUCUACGAUACACCUACCCUCAUUCCUACAACAUUAGAUAAUGACAUAUAAAUUAAAUAUGAUUUAUAUUCAGUCCUUUAUUAUUUUUAUUAUGACCAUAUUUGACUAAAUAUAUGAAUAACUAUAUUCCUUAAAAAUUAUUUGGCCAAUAUAAUAAAAUAAAUUGCCAGGUUAUAUUACUUGACUUGCAAUUUGAAUAUUGCAUGUACAUGAUUUGGGGCUGGCUGACCUUUAAAUUUACAAAACUAAACUUUAAGUUUUAAGAGUUUAAAUGCAUGGAAAAUACUACUAAUAUGCUAUGAAUAAAAUUUAUUAUCAUUAUAAUUCCACAAUUGUUAAGAAACUUUUAAAAUAAAAUAAAAUAAAAAGAUGAGUGGAUAUGGAUAUAGAUUUAUAUAUUAAGAUAGAUCCAGAUCUGCUCCAAAUCCGUCUUAGAUCCGCAUAUCGAUAUCCAAAUCAUAUCCAAAUUCAUUUUAAACUGAUCCAAAUCCGAUCCGAUUAGAUUUGGAUCACGUAGAUCCUUGAUCAGAUCCAAUCCAUUGCCACAUUUUAAGCUUUAUUUAAAAAUAAAAAUAAAAUUUAUGGAAGCUAAGUCCGGCCCGGGCCUGUUUAAGUCCGAUCUAAGUUUGGCCUGUUUAAAUUUAGACAGACUUUGAAGGACUUGAACCUAAUGACAAUGACAUGGACUUGAGCUUGAACUUCAAAAAACCCGACUCAAGCCCGCAAUUUGUCAACUCUAAUUUGGACAACUACUAACGACCUGUAAUCAAGUCAUUAAAACCUUAUGGGGACUCAUAAACACUCACAAACACAUUGGAAAAGCGCAUAUGAAUGUAGGAUGUAUCCACAGUGAAGCUACCAUGCUCAUCUUGCGUGUCCACAUUGUUGUGGCUGAUUCUUGUGGGUAAUGUUGUUGUCUCCUUAUUAGGUAGCUAGAAAGACAGGCUUCUGUUUGACCCCAUACUGGUUGGUGAUAAGGGAUAGGUUGCCGCAACCCUUAGGCACGAUUUAUAAGCCUUGCAGAUAUAGCCUAUUAAGUUCUCGUAUUCCUGCAGCAAGACAAAUAAUUCAUCUCUUAAAGAUCCCCAAGUUCAAAUAUCAAAAUAUUUGAUAUAAUAAUCUUCUACUUCAAAGUUCAAAAAUCGUACAUUUUUAUUGAGCAAAUUUUAUUUCGAUUUCCAGGAACGUGGGGGACAAUAUGUAAAUCAGGAACAUACCUCAUACUGUGGCUGUCCAUCCACAAUAACCCAAGGCACAUACUGAUGAAGAGGCACAAGAGAAUUUGUUUCAGCUGCAUAUUUUAAUUAAAGCUGCAAGUAAUACAAAAUUCAAUCGCAAAUUAAUCAAUCAUAUAUACCAAUUUCACAUUCCAUGGACAAUUUCACAGGCAGUGGACUUUAUCUCUUUUGUUUCUUUUCCUCCAUAUUCACUGACUCUGCAGUCCACUGGCAAGAAACAAUUUUCUUUAGUAGGCGUUACAGGAAAAGCAGAUAUCUAAGAGAAAGGUGACGAAUAUUUUAGCUGAUUGCAAACUCAAAUGCACUUUGUUGAUAUUUAAAUACAGUGGCAUCCAGGUUGAUAGGCAAUCUAAAAUACAACUCCAGUAAUAUUCCUCAAUGUUCAUGUACCCAAACGCUUAUUAACUCUUUUCUUCCAGGGCUUAAAUACUUCCCAAGAAUCUCAUAUAAUAAUCUAGCAGCUAAAUACAGUUCCUUUUCUCUCAUCCUCAAUCACAGGGAAAAAAAAAUUUGAAUUUUUUCUAGUAACUCGAGAGAAGGAAAAAAAAAAAAAAAAGGAACAAGUAGUUUUUGUUGAAAAACAAUUCCGUUAAAAUAAAUAGCAGAAUUAUUAGAAUUUAGGAUGAAAAGCUUGCCAUUAUAAAUCCAUUAAAGGACAAAAUCAAACCAGAUCGCGUGGUGGUGUGUCGCACGGUGGAGUGAUGUCGGUGUCACGUGGCGAAGGCAGAUCGCGUCAUGGUGGAGUUGGUGCCGCUCGGCAAAGGCAGAUCGCGUCGUGGUGGAGCUGCUAUCACCUGGCAGUGGCGGUGUGGAGUUGGUAUUGGGUUGAAGCACCCGAGGGGCUGUGAGGAGUAGCAGUGUGGAGACGGGCAGGGAGAAGAAGAAAACGAAACCGAAAUUUUUGUUUCCUCUCAAAUCAAUCAUAAGAGGGGGAGAGACGAUUAUUAGUUAAUAUUUAUUCUCAUUUGAACAUCCACAAUUAAAAACCAAGUAUGAAUCUUUGAGGAAGAGAGAAGAAGGAGACGGAAAAAAUUUAUUAUCACUAGUGCGAUCUAUUGUUUUAUUGAUUAGCUUUAAAAAGAGAGUAAAAGAAAAACAUAAUGUCCUUUUAAUCCUGACCAUUAGAUAUUAGAUGUAACGUUGACAUAGCUGAAGCUGAGGCUAGAUGUGUUAAUUUAAGAUUUGAUAAAGCUGGAUUGUCUCCUGUGCAGCUUAAAUCUGAUUCAUCGAACUGGUUUUGGGGAAAUCUUGCAAGCGCAAAGAAUUAUUUCUGGCUAUCUCUAUAUUAAUAAAUUCAAUAGCUUCUUUGCCUCCAUGGCUGCUUUCCAGUGCCAGCCCCAGCAUAGUUUUAAAAGGUGUAAUCAUUUAGCUAAUGCACCAGCAGAGCAUGAUUAUAGUCUUGCUGGUCUUACUUGUUAAGAUAAUUGAAUUGAUUAGUCGAGUUUAGUUUUGGUUAAGCAAAAUUGCUAGUCUUAGUUUAAGUUUGUUACUGAUGCUGACAUGGCAGCUGAGUUAGCUGAAUCUGUUAUUCCGUUAGUUCAAACAAACACGUUGUAUGCAUGCAGUGUGUAGAAUAUUUGAUACAGCCUUGUACAUAAAUACUUGUAAAAUCAGUGUGUGAGAUCCAAUACAACAUCUUCUCUAUGUUUUCCCUGUAGCCAAACAAAUCUCCUCUUUACUUUCCGAAAGGAAGAAAUUCCAUUCCAGUUCGCUUGAAAUUUUUGUGAGACUUUAUGGUUAAUGAAUUUUUCAUUAAAAAAAAAAAAACUAUUGUCAAAAUUGAAAAUUUCAUGAAAUAAGCAUGCUUCCACAAACACUUUUUUUUUUUUUUCAAAUUUGAUGAAAUAAGAUGUUUACGACAUUUAAAACUCAAAACUCAAUUGGGACCUUACGAGAUGGAGUAGAUUCUACGGGUGGAGACAACAGAAUUACCCGUCCAAUAGGAAAUGCUUAUAAACCAGAUGGCCAAUAUAAUCAUGCAGCAAAUUUUAUAAUUUUAGUUUAUAUUUUUGGGAGGCCACAAAGGGAAUUGUGGGUAAAUUAAAAAAAUGUAAUCUUUCAUAUGAAAGAGAUUGCAUCUUUUUAUAAAACCAACGAAUAGAGUUUAUCAUAGAAAAAGAUUUAAGAAGUUAAGAACAUAUAUCAAUCUAUUAAUCAACAAAUUAACACACAAUAAUUUUAUUUAUUUACUUUUUAUGUUUUAGAAAGAGACAGUACAUAUUGAAACUUAGAAAGAGACAGUACAUAUUGAAACUAACACACACAUCCAGAUUCUUAUUUUAUUACACAUAAAAAAGAUUAAUACUUCGUACACUUAACCAGUAUAAUCAAGAUUUCUUCCAUAGUGAGGAAUAACAAGAAAAUCGAGAUUAUCGUUCACACUCUCCCCAUC
rnacentral:lncRNA from 1 species